rnacentral:rRNA from 1 species
GAUGAACGCUGGCGGCGUGCCUAAUACAUGCAAGUCGAGCGAACGGACGAGAAGCUUGCUUCUCCGAUGUUAGCGGCGGACGGGUGAGUAACACGUGGAUAACCUACCUAUAAGACUGGGAUAACUUCGGGAAACCGGAGCUAAUACCGGAUAAUAUUUUGAACCGCAUGGUUCAAAAGUGAAAGACGGUCUUGCUGUCACUUAUAGAUGGAUCCGCGCUGCAUUAGCUAGUCGGUAAGGUAACGGCUUACCAAGGCAACGAUGCAUAGCCGACCUGAGAGGGUGAUCGGCCACACUGGAACUGAGACACGGUCCAGACUCCUACGGGAGGCAGCAGUAGGGAAUCUUCCGCAAUGGGCGAAAGCCUGACGGAGCAACGCCGCGUGAGUGAUGAAGGUCUUCGGAUCGUAAAACUCUGUUAUUAGGGAAGAACAUAUGUGUAAGUAACUGUGCACAUCUUGACGGUACCUAAUCAGAAAGCCACGGCUAACUACGUG